UUUUGUGCGAUUUGUAAGGUCGUGUUUGGCCCUUCCUAUUUGUGGGAAGCUUUUAUAUAUGCAUAUAUGCUUUAUGAGUUGUUGAACUCAUCUAUUUUGAACCAAACAAAAAAAUAAAAAUAUCUAGAGAAAGGGAAAGGAGAACCGUGAGAGAGAGAGAGAGGGAGAGAGAGAAGAGGCUAAGCUUCUCCCUAAGGAAUUCAACAUCCAUGGAAGCUUGAAGAUGGUGGAAGAAGAUAGAAGAGAGAGGAAAGAUCAACCAAAAGCUUGGGAAAAAUUGAAGAGACUAAGGGAUGAACAAAGGUUUGGGUAAGGUCGAGACGAGGACAUUGUACCAUUACCACCGGGAAGCGAUCACUGUGAGUAGUAGUAC